CUCGGUUGUUUCCCGCUAUCAACUUAAAUAGGCUGAUUCCUGUUAGCUUAAUCAAAUACCCAUUCGCAAGUAUCGAUUUUUAAUGUGCUGGUAUUGUACAGUUUUCAAAACUCUGGUACGACGUUUUUUAAGUACCGGUUUACCGCACAACCAUACUGCUUACAUAUACAUAGUUUCAAAAAGGUAGAAAACAUGUGUCACAGGAAUUAGGAGAAAUCCUGUAGCAGAAUAUGAGCCGUCAGUGUCUACAGAUGCUUCAGAUGUAGCGUCUCCAUCAUUGAUUUUCUCUUCGUUCACCGUCCAGUGGAGUCUCACCUGACUGUCAGAACAGGUUGGUGGCGUUGUGGACCAGGUAGCUGAGGACAAACUGGGGCCCGAACCCGCGGCUCUGCCUGUACCAGCUGAUGUGCAUACGGCUGGCAGUCCUCAGUGGACAGAAAUGGUUUGACCACCUGGCUCCGGCAGCAGAGGGUUGCCUGCCUGCCUGCCUGCCGCUUCCCCUGGGACUCUCAGGAAAUAACUCUUUUGCAUCUCUGUAAUUUACCAAGGACUUGGGGGAUGGACACCUGCUAGAAACCCUUGGAGAUCCAGGAAUACAGCAAAAUGUGUGAAGCAAGGGAAAAACGUUGGUUGGCCACCGUAAAACUUCACACAGCUCCAACAGUGCAGACAGGACUAUUUUCUGCUCUCCGCGGGAGCAGCUCUGCUGCAGCCGCCCGCAGGAAGGCUGCAGGCACCAUGAAGGGGAUGAGGGAAAGCCCUCGGGAGCCUCAUCCCAGGAGCCGAAACCAGAGGGCCAAUGGGGUCCAGCCUGCUGAGGAUUAGGGCUGGUGUGGACCAAGGCUUUGCCAGCUACGAGGAAACACCACGGACCUAAUCUGAGGUGGCCCACUGGAGUAAUCAUAUGGAACAUCGUGUCUCUCCAGCAUGAUGACCGUCUUGUUCUGCUGUGGGGAGAGCUUCAUACACUCUCUGAGGUACGCAGACCAGGGAGUGGCCAGAACUCUGUAGGCACUUGCAGGUUUAAGUCCCGUUCGCCGCCUUCUCGGGACCCAGUGGCAUAGGGCAACGAACAGCACAGCCACUGGAAAGGGCUGUGAAAACUCAGGACACUGGGCAGGGAGACACCAGCCCGCCUGCCCUCACUCCUGGCACACCUUCAGGAAAGACUGAGUCGGAACAGCACUCGCCUUGUUCAGGGAGUGUUUAAAGUAAGAAACGGCCGAAGAACCAAACAAGUUCUGCAUGCCACAGUCAAGACUCGCUCUGUCAGCGGCCAUCACCGCAGCGCUGGAAAUGGAAACAGAAACAUACCCUGCAAACUUAAGUUUCACUUUCUCCUGGUGACUUUUGAAACAUCAGGGAUUGCAACAUGGUGACGAUCUGGAGGUAAGCCC